UAGAUUAAUUCCCCCGUGAUCUUUGGCCGCUCCAGCAGCAUAGAACGUCCCACGACCAAGCUGGCGACUGUUUUACGAGACCGGGCGGGACCCUAGGCAGGCCAGGGCUCGCGGGGGACCGGGCGAGGGAGGCAGGACACGUGGGCAGACUGAGGGAGGCGGCGGCGAAGGAAGGAGCAGCCGGGGUGAGUGAGUGAGGGCCGGCUUGUGUUCGGUGUGAGCUGUGGUCCUCCUGCCUCAAGGGACCACCAGCGCCGCGUCCCUCAUUCCACAAACACGUGACGCGGUGGUCCUCCUCCUCCUCCCCCUCCCGGGCCUCCCAACUGAGAGACACUGAGAAAGAUGAAGGACAGCGUGAGAAACAUGGAUACUGUGUGAGAACGACAAGAAAGCCAUCAGGUCCAGUGUGACGUACAGACGAAGAGGAAAGAAAUAUACAAUAUAAGUUGGCACUGCGGGGACAUCAAGGAGGACCCAACAGGACUCUCUCUCUCUCUCUCUCUCUCUCUCUCUCUCUCUCUCUCUCUCUCUCUCUCUCUCUCUCUCUGACUGCCAGAAAGAUGAUGAAGAAGAAAGGCAAGAAAGGCAGGUUUAAUAAUUAUGUCAAUUAGCUUCGUCCUUUGUCUGUUGAGUAGGAGGAGGAGGAGGAGGAGGAGAAGGAGGAGGAGGAGGAGGAGGAGGAGGAGGAGGAGGUUGCAGGAAGGGAGCAAGAAAAUAAUAUAGAAAAAAAAAUCCUGAUGAUUAUGAUAAUGACGACAACGAGAAUGAGGACAAGAAAAAAAAAAGGAGGGAAAAAAGAGAGAAAAAAACAAUGACAACAACAGCAGCAAAGAAGACGAGGACGAAACGAUUGAGGAUUACAAAUAAUGAGAGAAUAAGUAACUAAGUAAAUAAGAAGAAGAAGCUCCUCGAGGUAAUUAUGUCUUAAAGUAGUGAUGGACGCGAACAGAGAUGACAAGACGCACAGGUGAGAAAUGUAGCAAAGGUGUGUGUGCUUUACCUGUGUGUGUGUGUGUUUGUGUGUGUGUGUGUGUGUGUGUGUGUGUGUGUGUGUGUGUGUGUGUGUGUGUGUGUGUGUGUG